rnacentral:rRNA from 1 species
AUUGAACGCUGGCGGCAUGCCUUACACAUGCAAGUCGAACGGCAUCGCGGGAAAGCUUGCUUUCCUGGCGGCGAGUGGCGAACGGGUGAGUAACACAUCGGAACGUACCGGCUAGUGGGGGAUAACCCGUCGAAAGACGGGCUAAUACCGCAUACGCUCUUCGGAGGAAAGCAGGGGACCUUUGGGCCUUGCGCUAGUCGAGCGGCCGAUGUCCGAUUAGCUAGUUGGUGGGGUAAAGGCCUACCAAGGCGACGAUCGGUAGCGGGUCUGAGAGGACGAUCUGCCACACUGGGACUGAGACACGGCCCAGACUCCUACGGGAGGCAGCAGUGGGGAAUCUUGGACAAUGGGGGCAACCCUGAUCCAGCAAUGCCGCGUGGGUGAAGAAGGCCUUCGGGUUGUAAAGCCCUUUCGGCAGGGAAGAAAUCGGCGGGGCGAAUAACCCUGCUGGAUGACGGUACCUGCAGAAGAAGCACCGGCUAACUACGUG